AUGAUUGUAGCAAAAAGAAAAGCUAGUUCCAGCAAAAACAUACACCGGUUCCAGCUCGCCACCGUGCUGGUUCCAGCACCGGUGUCCCCCACGGGUUGCAGCUCCGCCUGCUCGAUGCAGCUGCCCAAACCUCGCCCGUCGGCGCGGCGCCGUCAGAUGCAGCUCAACCCAUCGUCGGUUGUAGCUCCUCCGUCCACCGGCUGCAGCUUCCGGCGUGCCCUGUUGCAGCUCCACGGUCCGUCGUCCAUCCCUGCGACAAGAGGGGCGUCGCGGAACUGGAAGGACGCCGAGGCAACUAUGGGGAAAAAAGGGGAAAAGCUCGCCGAAGAGGGAGAAAUAGCAGCAGAGGGAACUCCUCUAGUGGUGGUGGGGCUCGCCGGAGCUAGGAUCCGACGAGGCGAGCGAGAGGUGAGGCGGGUGAUGCACGAGCGGAGAGCAAGACGUGAGGUAGGCCAUGCGCGGGCGAAGGAGGACGAGCUGCAGGACUUGUGUGGACGAGAGAAAGCGGUGCUGGGGCAUCUGCUCGUUAUGUGCGUGUGCGAGUACAGCGGUGUGACCGGCCGAAAAUUCGGCCGGCGCACCGCACACAAACGUUUCCCUAUGAUAAAUGGCCCACAUCAUUACAGGGCUAAUGAUCAAAUCCUCACGAGGCGCCGCCGCCGCUCUCUAGAAGGAGGCCAGGCCAGUGCCAGGGCAGAUCCGACGAUGCGCCGCCAGUUCAUCAACGUGGUGCUGGGCUGCCACAAGACCUGCUCCUUCGUCCUGCACCGCAUCAGGUCGUCGAGCCUCUUCCACCCACGAAAACGAACCGCCGGCACAUCGCCGCCGCCUCCGCCGACACAGGUGGAAGAGGCCGCGCUGCCGAAACCCGCGCUGUCGUUCGGCUUUCUCCGCAAGGAAUGCGUCCCAGGCGGGACCUCCAUGUUCAUGCCUUUCGGCCGCAGCGGGGACGGGAUCCUCGGCGUAGGCCCGAGCGUCGACGUCCUGGCCUACGACGCCCGCCUGAAUAACGUCAGGGUCAUGCCCAGGCUGCAGGGGUGCAUGGCCGACCCCAUCGCCUUCAACGUCGGCGACGCCCUCUACCUCCUGGAGAGGCGCCCCAGCAGGUCUGGUCGGACCAACCAGCCCAGCUUCCAAGUUCUCAAGCACGGCGACCCUCCGGAAGACGUCUACGUGUUCCCGAGGUGGCACUGGCGCUCCCUCCGGCCUCCUCCCUACGUGAACGCCGCCACGAUCGGCGCCUCCGCGCUGGUCGGUGACGACAUCUGGGUGUCGGCCGAGGGCGUCGGCACCUACGCCUUCGACACCGCCAAACACAGGUGGAGCAAGGCCGGCGGCUGGGAGCUCCCGUUCUGCGGCGGCGCAGAGUACUCCCCGGAGCUCGGCCUCUGGUUCGGCCUCUCUUCUCUACACAAGAAGAAGCUCUUCUGCGCAGCGGACCUCUCGGCGGCAGCGGGUGCUUCCGGUGCGCCCGAGCUGUGCCGUGUCUGGAGGAAGGAGCUCGCCGCCAACCCUGAGGACUGGGAGCUGCUGGACACCCUCCUCGUGCAUGUUGGCAACGGCAGGUUCUGCGUCGCCAGGUUCUACCACGUGUAUGCAGAUGAAGAGAGCCCCAUUGCAACGGAGAAAUUCGCAGUCUUCACCGGCGUGGAGGUGCAGCGCCUCAAGGCUGGUGGGAGGAUCAAGAUAGUCGGGCACAAAUCCAUACGCUACGAAAUCGAUGCCUAUAUCCACUGGGUGUUUUAG
rnacentral:rRNA from 1 species